rnacentral:tRNA from 2 species
UAACCUGUGGUGUAAUGGUAACACUCAAGAUUUUGAUUCUUGUAUUAUAGGUUCGAAUCCUAUCAGGUUAU